UUGGGGGGAGGGUGAUUAGGAUGU
rnacentral:piRNA from 1 species